rnacentral:lncRNA from 1 species
GAGGGGAAGAAAUCAUAUAUUGGAUAAAACUUUUGGAUUACAGUAGUGGAUAUUACAUGAGGAACAUCAUCCAAAUAUGCUGCAUAAUCUCAAUAUUUUCUUCACAGCGAAGCGAAACUUUAACUGAAAGAAUCCAUCAACAUCCCUACAACUAAACUAAAACGUAACUGAGGAACAUCAUCUAGCAACAUCAACAAUGUCCCUAGCACUUAACAAAACCAAAAGGAUCCAUCAUCAUGAACUGGAACUUCAUCAUCAUUGCAGUAUACUUGCCACGCACCCAUAUAAUCAUCCAUAUAUCUUUUGAAUCUACAAAAAAAAUAACAAAUUGAAUUGUUAAUACACAAUGCAAGUAGUGAUGAGGCAAGGUAUUAGACGCAUACAAAGGUUGAAAGCAUACAAACACUAAAAAUACUAAGUCGUGUUAUCUCUAUGUAGCAGCAAAGUCUCUAGAGAAUGCCCACUUAGAUGUCUUGUUGUUUAGCCUAUUAGCUUGAACAAAAUAGUUUUAAAAGGAGGUUUGAUAGUGGGAGAUACACUUGUGUAAAUGAGAAAAGUAUGGCACCUCCGCCCAGAUGUUGGAAGUUACGCGACAUUUAUCAUAAUUUGCAAAAUAAAUAUGUAUCUAUAAACCUUUAUUAUUUAAACUUUCGAGUGGCUAUUUUCUAAAGGUGUUGAUUACAUUAGCAGUAUUUUCUUGAACCAUCAAUUGCAAAUGUCACAAUAUAUUAUCCAGGGUGUAGAUUUUCUACAGUGAUAUAUUUACCAAGAAGAUAUCUGCAAGAAAAACUAUUAUAAAUCUCCAAGCACGGAUAUCUUAAUGGCCAUAACAUCUUAAUUAAUAAAUUGUUGAGCUAAUCAAAGGAAUGAAUAUUUAAAUCACUUAUUGUGAAAUAUAUAUUGCACUAAUACGAAAUCAAGCUCAAACUAAAUUCUACUCCCUCCGUCCCAUCAUUUAAGACGUUUUUUGACACUAGAGUAGUGUCCAAAAACGUCUUACAUUAAUUAUGGGAAGGAGGGAGUAGAAUAUAUGUUAGCAGGAAACCUUAAAGUACCUACCGUUUCGUUGAAAGGUAUCAAAUUCCGUUAGUAAUUAUGCUGAACUGUCCACCUUCACAUUAUACACUACAUGUAGCAAUACAGAAAGGAUUAGUAACUGCAGUAGUAUUAGUUUACUCAAGGAAGGGCUUCUCCAUUAUAUCGUCACAACAAACAAUGAAAAACAUAGGGAGGGAGCCUAGCAAGCUGAUACUCAGAUUCUUUUUAUCUUUUGAUGGAAUGCCUUUUUCAAUUAACGUUGCAUCUAUGAUUUCAGGUUGAUGCUGAUGUGUGCAAAUUUCAGGUUAGGCUCAUACAUUACCAACCAACAUUAGAAAGGAAGGAGUCAUGCAUUGCAUUAAAUUACAGGGGGGGAAAGAAAGCAAAUGACCUUAGAAUGUGGUGAUGCAAACCAUGUUCCAGCAAUACACAAAGAAAUGCCGACAUAUGCAUCUCCUCAAGCCAUGGUACAUCAUGGCGCUUCUCUGUUUUGGAGCUCAUUAGGAACCGGCCAACAGAUCUACGCGCAAUGUGAGGCAUGAAUUGAAUUUCAACAGAACAAUUACUUGUGUAUUUGAGAAAACAAAUUAGUUUCAAAGCUCAGGAAAUUAUUUGCAAUCAAAUCAGGGAUAUCCAUCAAAAAAGUACCAUAGAAUUGAUCAGUAUAUUACUUGAUAGCAUUAGUUAGAUCCAUUCGCACCUUACUGCCACCAUGCUUGUGAACAUCAUGUGCGUUUUAUGCCUCCAGGACCGCAUCCAAGCGACCAAGCCUCAUAGCGCUGCAUCAACCUGCACUUCUCAAAUUAAUUCAUAUAUACAAUUAGUUGUAGGAAGUGGAGACAGGGCAACGUGCGUCGAUGCAUCAUGAGGAUAGAGGCAGCCAAAGCGUUAGGCAAUCAAAAUCCACCAAAACAGACCUGUAGGCUGCACUUUCUCACUAGAGCCUACAUCUCAAAUUGCAGGAGCACAACAUAAAAAUUCUCAAAACGGAAACCAACUGCCUUCUUUGUUCAUUGGAUACCUGCAAUAAGUCUGCCCUACUUCAUCGAAUCUAUGGUGGUAGCACUAGGGGUUUAUCUUGCAGUUCAAUCGAAGCAUCAAUUAACACCGUAGUAGCACAACAAGAUCAAAUUGACCACAAGCAGCAGGCACUUGGGCCCAAACAGUGGAAAAUCCUAACACCACCAGAACAAAAAUGGCUCCUGAUGUGCCACCAAACAGAGCAGAGAGGAGUGGAACGACUCACCUGGCUCCAUGUUUGCUUCAUCCCGAGCAGCAGCAAAGUUGUCCACUGGCCGUUCCUCCCUCCACAU